rnacentral:rRNA from 1 species
AUACGUAGGGUGCGAGCGUUAAUCGGAAUUACUGGGCGUAAAGCGUGCGCAGGCGGCUUUGCAAGACAGAUGUGAAAUCCCCGGGCUCAACCUGGGAACUGCAUUUGUGACUGCAAGGCUAGAGUACGGUAGAGGGGGAUGGAAUUCCGCGUGUAGCAGUGAAAUGCGUAGAUAUGCGGAGGAACACCAAUGGCGAAGGCAAUCCCCUGGACCUGUACUGACGCUCAUGCACGAAAGCGUGGGGAGCAAACAGGAUUAGAAACCCCAGUAGUCC